GCGGUAAUACGUAGGGUGCAAGCGUUAAUCGGAAUUACUGGGCGUAAAGCGUGCGCAGGCGGUUCGGAAAGAAAGAUGUGAAAUCCCAGGGCUCAACCUUGGAACUGCAUUUUUAACUACCGGACUAGAGUAUGUCAGAGGGGGGUGGAAUUCCACGUGUAGCAGUGAAAUGCGUAGAUAUGUGGAGGAACACCGAUGGCGAAGGCAGCCCCCUGGGAUAAUACUGACGCUCAUGCACGAAAGCGUGGGGAGCAAACAGGAUUA
rnacentral:rRNA from 1 species